rnacentral:lncRNA from 1 species
UACCCACUGUUUUUGAUGUGGUAAUAAUAUAACUUUUAUAAUAUGGUUAAUUAUUUGACUGUAAUUUAUAACUUUCCUAUGGUUAAUUAUUUUAUAGAGAAAUUUUCAAAAUACUGGUAAAAUUAUUAAGUCCCCAAGAGGUACCGAACUUAACAUAUCCUUAAGUACAUUAUAAGGUACCUACAUGACAAAGUUUUUUAUUUAAAAUGUUGCUAAUAUGUACUAUAUAAUUAGGUUAAUAAGUAUAUUUUGAAUUUCAUUUACAUUUAUAUAGAUAAUCUACCAAGCGAAGUGAGGUUUUUCGUAUAAGUAGUAUGUAUAGGUACAAUAUAUAUACUUUUAAAAUUUCCCGCCAAAUCCAGAGAACUGUCAAUUGUCUAGAAGCUCCGAAGCAAAGUAUUUGGUUUUCUCUAGACGCAAGUUGAAGUGUGCUAGGAGGAUUCGGUCGACGAACUUGGUUCCAUAAUGGCGGAAGGUUUCAUUUCUUAAGCCAUUCUAUUUGGAAAAAAAAUGCAGUCCCACUGAAGUAAAAAUGGUAUCCCGUGGUUUUCCCAGAAUCCAUCCAGAGUUUCUAGAGGGACAGUAAAUGGACAACUGACCUAUCCGCCAUUUGGGGAGAAAUAUUAGAACCUACCAUGUAAAUCCUUCAACCACCUGGAAGGCGUCGAUUCCAGCCACGACCACAGCCAAGUCACUAUUGGGGUUUUGGGAACAAGCUUUUUGGGGAACAUUCCAGCUCCUUUUCGUCCUGCCACCUGGGCUUACGGGGGGCAUGGAGGCGCAUCAUCGUGAUGCUCAUUUUCUAGGAUGCAACCACAAUCUCGUUUGGGAACAUUUAGUGUUGUGCAUUAAGUAACUUUGGUUUUUAUAUUUCAGACAUUUGAUUUAAUGCACUAUGUUAAUUAAUUUUUUUUCCAGAUUUAGUUUACCUCUGGUUUUUUUUUUAAUAUGACAUAUUUGUAUAUUAUUGUAUUUGGUUCCCAAACUUUGUACCUAUGGUAACUUCUUGUGCACAGGAAUAAGCCUAGAGAAAAUUAGGUUUUUAAUACUUUAUUAUUGCUUUGAUACUGGUUUAUGUAAUUCGGGUAAAUUUAUUUUGUAAUAUUACUUGCUUGUUUCCCAAAUAUUUUCUUGUUAUUCGCUUUAUUUCGAUUGUUCGGUUAAUUCGUCGUUACUUUAGUUCAUUGCAUUUUCUUGGUUAAUUUAGGUCAUCGUUUCGGUAUUAAUUACUUCAUUACUAUAACUUUAUUCAUUUGUAUAUUUAACUUUAUUUAUUCAUUAUGGUAUUUUCUCUUAGUGAGGCUUGGGCCUAUUUAUUUGUAGUAUUUUCAUCUUUGUCAGUUUCAUUUAGUUGUACGUAGCAAGCGUACUAUAACCAUUUGGUAGAAGACUCAUGUGAGUUGUACCCUCUAUGUUAGUGAGAGGUACUUAUACCUGUAAUUUUGUAACAGAUAACAGAUAAUAAUGUUGUUAUCUUAGAUAUAACUUCUGUAUAACUUUUGUCAUGUUAGAGUCACGGUAUAUGUUUUGUGUAACUCAGAGAUUGUCAAAAAUCUAGUAGUUAUUUUUAAUAAAUAUGUAUUUAUUUUGUA